rnacentral:tRNA from 1 species
GGAGUUGUGGCUCAGAGGUAGAGCACUUGCCUAGCACGUGAGAAGCUCUGGUUCGAUCCCCAGCACCA